rnacentral:rRNA from 1 species
AUUGAACGCUGGCGGCAUGCCUUACACAUGCAAGUCGAACGAUAACAGGUCUUCGGAUGCUGACGAGUGGCGAACGGGUGAGUAAUACAUCGGAACGUGCCCGAUCGUGGGGGAUAACGAAGCGAAAGCUUUGCUAAUACCGCAUACGAUCUCCGGAUGAAAGCAGGGGACCGCAAGGCCUUGCGCGACCGGAGCGGCCGAUGGCAGAUUAGGUAGUUGGUGGGAUAAAAGCUUACCAAGCCGACGAUCUGUAGCUGGUCUGAGAGGACGACCAGCCACACUGGGACUGAGACACGGCCCAGACUCCUACGGGAGGCAGCAGUGGGGAAUUUUGGACAAUGGGCGAAAGCCUGAUCCAGCCAUGCCGCGUGCAGGAUGAAGGCCUUCGGGUUGUAAACUGCUUUUGUACGGAACGAAAGACUCUGGUUAAUACCUGGGGUCCAUGACGGUACCGUAAGAAUAAGCACCGGCUACUACGUGCCAGCAGCCGCCGUAACAC